AGCGAACGCUGGCGGCAGGCCUAACACAUGCAAGUCGAACGAACUCUUCGGAGUUAGUGGCGGACGGGUGAGUAACACGUGGGAACGUGCCUUUUGGUUCGGAAUAACUCAGGGAAACUUGUGCUAAUACCGAAUGUGCCCUUCGGGGGAAAGAUUUAUCGCCAUUAGAGCGGCCCGCGUCUGAUUAGCUAGUUGGUGAGGUAACGGCUCACCAAGGCGACGAUCAGUAGCUGGGCUGAGAGGAUGACCAGCCACACUGGGACUGAGACACGGCCCAGACUCCUACGGGAGGCAGCAGUGGGGAAUCUUGCGCAAUGGGCGAAAGCCUGACGCAGCCAUGCCGCGUGAAUGAUGAAGGUCUUAGGAUUGUAAAAUUCUUUCACCGGGGACGAUAAUGACGGUACCCGGAGAAGCAGCCCCGGCUAACUUCGUG
rnacentral:rRNA from 1 species